GCGCCAGCCGCCGCGGUAAGACAAACCGUGCGAACGUUGUUCGGAAUCACUGGGCUUAAAGCGCGUGUAGGCGGGGCGGCACGUCGGUCGCUGAAAUCCCCCGGCUUAACCGGGGAACGGGCGCCGAUACGACCGUCCUGGAGGAACGUAGGGGGAGCUGGAACUUCCGGUGGAGCGGUGAAAUGCGUUGAGAUCGGAAGGAACGCCCGUGGCGAAAGCGAGCUCCUGGACGUUUUCUGACGCUGAGACGCGAAAGCCAGGGGAGCGAACGGGAUUAGAAACCCUUGUAGUCC
rnacentral:rRNA from 1 species